rnacentral:tRNA from 1 species
CCCGGCGUAGCUCAGUGGUACAGACUUGGUGGGGAAUCUUGCCUUGGUCUGCACUCUAGAGCGGGCGGCUGUAGACCGUCUGGUCGCAGGUUCAAGUCCUGCCGCCGGGACCA